rnacentral:rRNA from 1 species
GACGAACGCUGGCGGCGUGCUUAACACAUGCAAGUCGAACGGAAAGGCCCUGCUUUUUUGUGGUUCUCGAGUGGCGAACGGGUGAGUAACACGUGAGUAACCUUCCCUUUACUUUGGGAUAACUUCAGGAAACUUGUGCUAAUACCUGAUAGGAGCUCCUGCUGCAUGGUGGGGGUUGGAAAGUUUCGGCGGUUGUGGAUGGACUCGCGGCUUAUCAGCUUGUUGGUGGGGUAGUGGCUUACCAAGGCUUUGACGGGUAGCCGGCCUGAGAGGGUGACCGGCCACAUUGGGACUGAGAUACGGACCAGACUCCUACGGGAGGCAGCAGUGGGGAAUAUUGCACAAUGGGCGGAAGCCUGAUGAAGCAACGCCGCGUGCGGGAUGACGGCCUUCGGGUUGUAAACCGCUUUCGCCUGUGACGAAGCGUGAGUGACGGUAAUGAGUAAAGAAGCACCGGCUAACUACGUG